rnacentral:rRNA from 1 species
UGCCCCGAGAUGAGUUCUCCCUGAGACUUUAAGUUUCCUGAAGGAACGUUAAAUACGAGGACGUUGAUAGGUCGGGUGUGUAAGCGCAGCGAUGCGUUGAGCUAACCGAUACUAAUGAACCGUGAGGCUUAACCUUACAACGCCGAAG